CCAUAAGUUAACAUAAACUAGAGACUUGUAUGCGUAACAGAAGGCAGGCAAAGCAAGCGACGAAUAUCACUCCAUUUUCCUUUCUUCUUCAUCGUCCCCAGUUUCUUAGACUCAUAAACAAGUCCUGUUGUAUGCUCUCAUCCCCUCUCCUCUCCUCUCCUCUCCUUUUCACCAUUUAAAUCUCCCUCUCCAGUCUGUUUGUCAUUGACUGUUUAACUUAAUAAUAAUCUUAAUCUCAUGAAAUAUUGACAAAUGGUGAUGAGAAGGAGAAAGGAGAAAUAAUAGAAAGUAGAGAUUGAAAGGUGACAGGACAGUGACAAUAAUAAAGAAAGAACCAAAACUGAUUCUAAAAAACGGAAAUGCGAAUGCUUUGUGAUGUGUGUGAAAGCGCAGCUGCGAUUCUUUUCUGUGCUGCUGAUGAAGCCGCGCUUUGCCGCUCCUGCGACGAGAAGGUUCAUAUGUGUAACAAGCUAGCUAGUCGGCAUGUACGAGUAGGACUUGCAGAUCCUAGUGAUGUUCCACAGUGUGACAUAUGUGAAAAGGCACCAGCUUUCUUUUACUGCGAGAUAGAUGGCAGUUCGCUCUGCUUGCAAUGUGAUAUGAUAGUGCAUGUUGGUGGUAAAAGGACCCAUGGGAGAUAUCUCCUGUUGAGGCAGAGAGUUGAGUUUCCAGGGGAUAAACCUGGCUGUACAGAGGAACAAGGACAGCAACCGCUUGAUGAUAAUGAAACAAGAAGGGACCAAAAUCAGCCGCCUAAGCUCACAGCUAGAGAAAAUCAACAGAACCACAGGGCCUCUCCAGUUCCAAUGGUAGAGAAUAACACUGAUAGUGACGGGAAAAUGGACAACAAAUUGAUUGAUCUUAAUGCCAGGCCUCAGCGUGUACAUGGGAAAAAUCCAACUAACCAGGAAAACCAUGAAUCCUCUAGUUUGGCUCCUUUUGGAUUCUUUAAAGGGGAGCCACAAAAGUAAGCAAGUUAUUUGAGGGGGCAGUCUUCGUGUUGCAUGAUCGAUUGUUUGAAAUAGCAGGUGAAAACAGUGGAACGAAGAGGUUAAGGUAGCUGUUCCAUUAGCCAUCUAUCACGUUUGCCAUCAGGCUCCAUCUUUGUUUUUGACCAAUUGUAAUCGGGAGGAUAACAUAGAAGCUCGAAAUCUUUGAAAAAGAACAGAUUCGCCCAAAAAUGGCUUCUCAUACUGGGCAGAUAAGUUAGCUGCUUUGCUGAUAACCAUAUAUUAUGUCAGAUUUCAGAAGGAUGCUUGUAAUUGAACAGGAAAAUUCUCUAGUGGGCACAGUUGUGAUGUUUUAAUGGCCCUUUGUGAAGUCAAAAUUUAGUGCUCUUCAUGCCACACAUUAUUAAAGGAUUAAUAGCAUUUUACUGGCUAUUAAUGGACGUGCCAGCAUUUCACAUUUUCAAUGAUGGAGUGGACAUAUCUUUUUGGUUGCUGGCUCUCGUUGAUACGCUCAGACAUGCUGAGUAUGGCCAUGUAGUUUGGCCUUGUUGACUUGCAGAUUGGUCCAUGCAGUGUGGGGUUGGUACUUAUUUGCUGAUCAUAGUUACGGGUAUUGCGGGCAGAACUUGGAAAUCAUGGAAUUUUCAUGUUUCUUUUACCCUCGUGUGCAUUUGUUCAUAGUGAGGAUAGGUCUAAAGCCAGGCCAUGUGCAGCUAGUGCUUUCAGAAAGGGACAUCCAGGUUUUUCCUUUAAUAUUAAGGUGCUGCAAAUGCUAGGUAGUCUAUCUAUUGUUUAGCAGGAACGGUCGACAGAUGCUUAUAAGCCUUUGGAGACUGGGCUGGCGUGCCUUUACAUUGUUUGCCAGAGUCUGUAAAUUAUGGCAUAUAGAAGUUGCAGUUGAAACCCAGAGGGACCUUAUAUUCUUAUUUGUGGAAAAGCAGAAUGCUACCUGAUACGAGAGCCCAGGCAGAUGGACUAUUGCAUUAUCAAGGCCUUUAUUUAUCCAUUUGAUUUUCAAGAUGAUUUGAUCCAAGUGACUGCAAGCCAAAUCCUUUGAAGUGAUCACAAGUAAGACUGAUGGAUUAUGCUAGUUUUGAAGGGAGCUUAGCAGGCUGUCAGUCUAGAGAGGCUAUAGAAGUGUAGGGAAAUGGUGUUUAGCCAUCACUGGAUGCUUUGCGUGAGAGAUUGCGUUGCAGAUCAAAGUCUCUAAAUUUGGAAACGAGUUGCCAUCUUCUACAUGCCUGCCGUAGUUCUAGAAUGCCCAUCUCUGUUUUAACCGUUGUCAAAUUAGCGAGGACGGAACUGUAUUGGUUUGUCUAAAAUGAAAGCAAGUUUACUCUCGUUCUUGAUUU